GACGAAGGGGGCUAGCGUUGUUCGGAAUUACUGGGCGUAAAGCGCGUGUAGGCGGUUAUCCAAGUCAGGUGUGAAAGCCUUGAGCUCAACUCAAGAAAUGCACUUGGUACUGGGUGACUAGAGGACCGGAGAGGAUAGUGGAAUUCCCAGUGUAGUGGUGAAAUACGUAGAGAUUGGGAAGAACACCAGUGGCGAAGGCGGCUAUCUGGACGGUUUCUGACGCUAAGACGCGAAAGCGUGGGGAGCAAACAGGAUUAAGAAACCCUGAGUAGUACC
rnacentral:rRNA from 1 species